rnacentral:rRNA from 1 species
GUUAGGAAUAUUGGACAAUGGGCGCAAGCCUGAUCCAGCCAUGCCGCGUGAGUGAUGAAGGCCUUCGGGUUGUAAAGCUCUUUAGCCGAUGAUUAUAAUGACUGUAGUCGGAAAAUAAGCCCCGGCUAACUUCGUGCCAGCAGCCGCGGUAAUACGAAGGGGGCGAGCGUUAUUCGGAAUCACUGGGCGUAAAGCGUGCGUAGGCGGUUUUGUAAGUUAGGAGUGAAAGCCCAGGGCUCAACCCUGGAAUUGCUCUUAAAACUACAAGGCUAGAAUGUCGGAGAGGAUAGCGGAAUUUCCAGUGUAGCAGUGAAAUGCGUAGAUAUUGGAAGGAACACCAGUGGCGUAAGCGGCUAUCUGGACGACUAUUGACGCUGAGGCACGAAAGCGUGGGGAUCAAACAGGAUUAGAUACCCUAGUAGUCC